AUGCUCACUUCGGCAGCAAAUAUACUAAAAUUGGAACUAUACAGAGACGAUUAGCAUGGUCUCUGUGCAAGGAUGACACGCAAAUUUGUGAAGUGUUCCAUAUUUUU
ensembl:snRNA U6 U6 spliceosomal RNA